rnacentral:rRNA from 2 species
UACGUAGGGACCGAGCGUUGUCCGGAAUCAUUGGGCGUAAAGAGCGUGUAGGCGGCUAUUUAAGUCCUGCGUGAAAUCCUGCGGCUCAACCGCAGACGGUCGUGGGAAACUGGAUGGCUAGAGUGCGGGAGAGGAGAGUGGAAUUCCCGGUGUAGCGGUGAAAUGCGCAGAUAUCGGGAAGAACACCCGUGGCGAAGGCGGCUCUCUGGAACGCAACUGACGCUGAGACGCGAAAGCGUGGGGAGCAAACAGG